rnacentral:rRNA from 1 species
AUUGAACGCUGGCGGCAGGCCUAACACAUGCAAGUCGAACGGAGUGGCGGACGGGUGAGUAAUGUCUGGGACACUGCCCGAUGGAGGGGGAUAACUACUGGAAACGGUAGCUUAUCCCGCAUACUAUGAGAUGCGCCUAGGUCGGAUUGUCUUGUUGGUGGGGUAAAGGCCUACCAAGGCGACGCUCCGUAACUGGUUUGAGAGGAUGAUUCGGCACACUGGGACUUAGACACGGUCCAGACCCCUACGGGAGGGAGGAGGGGGGAAUUUUGGACAAUUGGCGAAAGCCUGAUUCCGCCAUGCCGCGUGUGUGAAGAAGGGCUCCGGAUUGUAAAGCACUUUACGUUGGGGGGCGUUACCCACAGAAUAAGCACCGGCUAACUCCGGGCCAGCAGCCGCGGUAAUUC